rnacentral:rRNA from 1 species
GAAACCCUAGAGGUCGGCAGAGAGCGAUGGAGUGGUUGGUGUAGGUGAGACACGCGAAGCUACCCAGGGGAAU